CUUAGUUUCCGUGUCCAACAUUUAACCAUCUAUCUUAUUUAAAAAAAAUAAAAAUAAUUAAAAAAACAAGUCAUAUAUAAAGUAUUAAUCAUGUUUUAUCAUAUAACAACAAUAAAAAUACUAAUUAUAAAAAAAUUCAUAUAAGACGGACAGUCAAAUGUUAGACACGGAAACCUAGAGUUUGCCUAUUU
rnacentral:pre_miRNA from 1 species